rnacentral:rRNA from 1 species
GACGAACGCUGGCGGCGUGCUUAACACAUGCAAGUCGAACGGAAAGGCCCUGCUUUUGUGGGGUGCUCGAGUGGCGAACGGGUGAGUAACACGUGAGUAACCUGCCCUUGACUUUGGGAUAACUUCAGGAAACUGGGGCUAAUAUCGGAUAGGAGCUCCUGCUGCAUGGUGGGGGUUGGAAAGUUUCGGCGGUUGGGGAUGGACUCGCGGCUUAUCAGCUUGUUGGUGGGGUAGUGGCUUACCAAGGCUUUGACGGGUAGCCGGCCUGAGAGGGUGACCGGCCACAUUGGGACUGAGAUACGGCCCAGACUCCUACGGGAGGCAGCAGUGGGGAAUAUUGCACAAUGGGCGGAAGCCUGAUGCAGCAACGCCGCGUGCGGGAUGACGGCCUGCGGGUUGUAAACCGCUUUCGCCUGUGACGAAGCGUGAGUGACGGUAAUGGGUAAAGAAGCACCGGCUAACUACGUG